rnacentral:rRNA from 1 species
CACGUAGGGGGCGAGCGUUGUCCGGAUUUAUUGGGCGUAAAGAGCUCGUAGGCGGUGUGUCACGUCGGCCGUGAAAACCUGCAGCUUAACUGUGGGCGUGCGGUCGAUACGGGCAUCACUGGAGUUCGGCAGGGGAGACUGGAAUUCCUGGUGUAGCGGUGAAAUGCGCAGAUAUCAAGCGGAACACCGGUGGCGAAGGCGGCCUUCUGGACAGUGACUGACGCUGAGACGCGAAAGCGUGGGGAGCAAACAGG